ensembl:miRNA aca-mir-5396b aca-mir-5396b
GCCCAGAAUGGGGCAUCCACACAACCAGCAAGAAGGAAAUAAGAUUAAUCCCUUUCUUCUUGCUGUUUGUGCAGGUGCCUCAUCCUGACA